rnacentral:rRNA from 1 species
UACGAAGGGUGCAAGCGUUACUCGGAAUUACUGGGCGUAAAGCGUGCGUAGGUGGUUUGUUAAGUCUGCUGUGAAAGCCCCGGGCUCAACCUGGGAAUUGCAUUCGAGACUGCUCUGCUAGGGUGCGGAAGAGGGAAGCGGAAUUUCCGGUGUAGCGGUGAAAUGCGUAGAUAUCGGAAGGAACACCAGUGGCGAAAGCGGCUUCCUGGUCCAGCACCGACGUUCAGGCACGAAAGCGUGGGGAGCAAACAGG